rnacentral:rRNA from 1 species
AGCUCCAGUAGCGUAUAUUAAAGUUGUUGCAGUUAAAAAGCUCGUAGUUGGAUUUCUGGUUGUACAAAACUGACCUGCGCCCUCAAAGGCGUGUGUGUUGGCUUUUGUGUACCAUCCUUCUAGAAAUCGUUUCGCAUUCCUUUACUGGGAUGGACUCGUGAUCUAGAUCUUUUACUUUGAAGAAAUUAGAGUGUUCAAAGCAGGCUCGCGCUGUGAAUACAUUAGCAUGGAAUAAUAAUCUAGGACUUGGUAUCCUAUUUUGUUGGUUUUCAGGAUCUAAGUAAUGAUUGAUAGGGAUAGUUGGGGGUGCUAGUAUUCAGCGGCCAGAGGUGAAAUUCUUUGAUUCGCUGAAGACUAACUUAUGCGAAAGCAUUCACCAAGGAUGUCUUCUUUAAUCAAG